GCGGGAGUUUACUAUUCACCUCACGAUUCAUGAAUGGUUUUUCAUCGACUUAUCUUUGAUUUAUUUGAAGGAAAAGACCCUGAUGGAUAAAAGAUGGAUAUUUUUUCCUGGAGAAGCUAAAACAAUGUAACUUUGAGGUUCUGAUACCAGCUUUUACAACGUUAUUUACAGAGUUCACCAGACUUCUCUGUGGUAUUUCCUGACCAUGCCGAAAAGCUAUUUGAAACUUGGGCAUUGCAUUUUCCAGACAGAAUCCUGCAACUUCCCAGCCAAGAACCAGGAGCAUCAACAAAUCACCUCCAGAACCCCAUGAUGAUAUUCCAACUCCUGUCUACAAAAGUGGGAAGAAAAUCUUAAGUCUAUGUUGGGACCAACAUGGUUGCAUUCUUCUGAGAGGCUGAUGUGACAAAACCAUUCCCAUUUGUCCUUGGAUUGGAAGAUGGCGAUCUCUGCCAUCAAGCCUUCGUUGUUUUUGACAGACAGUCACUCCAGCAAUACACCCUCCUUGGUGAUGUUGACAUGUUUUGAACUUUUUUUUAUGUUUUGGACAUUAAUUUUACUAAGCAGUGCACAUCAGUGUGGGUGUUUUUGAAGACUGUUGUUUACAAACUCCCAAGAACGGAAUCCCUUUCUAUAAGAAGUCUGUGAAGUUAUUUGUCAUGCUAAGGUGAUAACUCAUGUUGAUCAUAUAUUGACUGUUUGUGCAACUUUGUGUUGAUCUUAUGUGUUACAUUAACAAUUUCUUAUUACACGGUUCUCUAAAAUGCUAGAUUCUGAUUGGCCAGUCGUGACAUUCUA